rnacentral:rRNA from 1 species
UUAAGCGACUAAGCGUACACGGUGGAUGCCCUGGCAGUCAGAGGCGAUGAAGGACGUGCUAAUCUGCGAUAAGCGUCGGUGAGGUGAUAUGAACCGUUAUAACCGGCGAUUUCCGAAUGGGGAAACCCAGUGUGUUUCGACACACUAUCAUUAACUGAAUCCAUAGGUUAAUGAGGCGAACCGGGGGAACUGAAACAUCUAAGUACCCCGAGGAAAAGAAAUCAACCGAGAUUCCCCCAGUAGCGGCGAGCGAACGGGGAGGAGCCCAGAGCCUGAAUCAGUGUGUGUGUUAGUGGAAGCGUCUGGAAAGGCGUGCGAUACAGGGUGACAGCCCCGUACACAAAAAUGCACAUACUGUGAGCUCGAUGAGUAGGGCGGGACACGUGGUAUCCUGUCUGAAUAUGGGGGGACCAUCCUCCAAGGCUAAAUACUCCUGACUGACCGAUAGUGAACCAGUACCGUGAGGGAAAGGCGAAAAGAACCCCGGCGAGGGGAGUGAAAAAGAACCUGAAACCGUGUACGUACAAGCAGUGGGAGCCUCUUAAUGGGGUGACUGCGUACCUUUUGUAUAAUGGGUCAGCGACUUAUAUUCUGUAGCAAGGUUAACCGAAUAGGGGAGCCGAAGGGAAACCGAGUCUUAACUGGGCGUUAAGUUGCAGGGUAUAGACCCGAAACCCGGUGAUCUAGCCAUGGGCAGGUUGAAGGUUGGGUAACACUAACUGGAGGACCGAACCGACUAAUGUUGAAAAAUUAGCGGAUGACUUGUGGCUGGGGGUGAAAGGCCAAUCAAACCGGGAGAUAGCUGGUUCUCCCCGAAAGCUAUUUAGGUAGCGCCUCGUGAAUUCAUCUCCGGGGGUAGAGCACUGUUUCGGCAAGGGGGUCAUCCCGACUUACCAACCCGAUGCAAACUGCGAAUACCGGAGAAUGUUAUCACGGGAGACACACGGCGGGUGCUAACGUCCGUCGUGAAGAGGGAAACAACCCAGACCGCCAGCUAAGGUCCCAAAGUCAUGGUUAAGUGGGAAACGAUGUGGGAAGGCCCAGACAGCCAGGAUGUUGGCUUAGAAGCAGCCAUCAUUUAAAGAAAGCGUAAUAGCUCACUGGUCGAGUCGGCCUGCGCGGAAGAUGUAACGGGGCUAAACCAUGCACCGAAGCUGCGGCAGCGACACUAUGUGUUGUUGGGUAGGGGAGCGUUCUGUAAGCCUGUGAAGGUGGCCUGUGAGGGUUGCUGGAGGUAUCAGAAGUGCGAAUGCUGACAUAAGUAACGAUAAAGCGGGUGAAAAGCCCGCUCGCCGGAAGACCAAGGGUUCCUGUCCAACGUUAAUCGGGGCAGGGUGAGUCGACCCCUAAGGCGAGGCCGAAAGGCGUAGUCGAUGGGAAACAGGUUAAUAUUCCUGUACUUGGUGUUACUGCGAAGGGGGGACGGAGAAGGCUAUGUUGGCCGGGCGACGGUUGUCCCGGUUUAAGCGUGUAGGCUGGUUUUCCAGGCAAAUCCGGAAAACCAAGGCUGAGGCGUGAUGACGAGGCACUACGGUGCUGAAGCGACAAAUGCCCUGCUUCCAGGAAAAGCCUCUAAGCAUCAGGUAACAUCAAAUCGUACCCCAAACCGACACAGGUGGUCAGGUAGAGAAUACCAAGGCGCUUGAGAGAACUCGGGUGAAGGAACUAGGCAAAAUGGUGCCGUAACUUCGGGAGAAGGCACGCUGAUAUGUAGGUGAAGCGACUUGCUCGUGGAGCUGAAAUCAGUCGAAGAUACCAGCUGGCUGCAACUGUUUAUUAAAAACACAGCACUGUGCAAACACGAAAGUGGACGUAUACGGUGUGACGCCUGCCCGGUGCCGGAAGGUUAAUUGAUGGGGUUAGCGGCAACGCGAAGCUCUUGAUCGAAGCCCCGGUAAACGGCGGCCGUAACUAUAACGGUCCUAAGGUAGCGAAAUUCCUUGUCGGGUAAGUUCCGACCUGCACGAAUGGCGUAAUGAUGGCCAGGCUGUCUCCACCCGAGACUCAGUGAAAUUGAACUCGCUGUGAAGAUGCAGUGUACCCGCGGCAAGACGGAAAGACCCCGUGAACCUUUACUAUAGCUUGACACUGAACAUUGAGCCUUGAUGUGUAGGAUAGGUGGGAGGCUUUGAAGUGUGGACGCCAGUCUGCAUGGAGCCGACCUUGAAAUACCACCCUUUAAUGUUUGAUGUUCUAACGUUGGCCCGUAAUCCGGGUUGCGGACAGUGUCUGGUGGGUAGUUUGACUGGGGCGGUCUCCUCCUAAAGAGUAACGGAGGAGCACGAAGGUUGGCUAAUCCUGGUCGGACAUCAGGAGGUUAGUGCAAUGGCAUAAGCCAGCUUGACUGCGAGCGUGACGGCGCGAGCAGGUGCGAAAGCAGGUCAUAGUGAUCCGGUGGUUCUGAAUGGAAGGGCCAUCGCUCAACGGAUAAAAGGUACUCCGGGGAUAACAGGCUGAUACCGCCCAAGAGUUCAUAUCGACGGCGGUGUUUGGCACCUCGAUGUCGGCUCAUCACAUCCUGGGGCUGAAGUAGGUCCCAAGGGUAUGGCUGUUCGCCAUUUAAAGUGGUACGCGAGCUGGGUUUAGAACGUCGUGAGACAGUUCGGUCCCUAUCUGCCGUGGGCGCUGGAGAACUGAGGGGGGCUGCUCCUAGUACGAGAGGACCGGAGUGGACGCAUCACUGGUGUUCGGGUUGUCAUGCCAAUGGCACUGCCCGGUAGCUAAAUGCGGAAGAGAUAAGUGCUGAAAGCAUCUAAGCACGAAACUUGCCCCGAGAUGAGUUCUCCCUGAGACUUAGAGUCUCCUGAAGGAACGUUGAAGACGACGACGUUGAUAGGCCGGGUGUGUAAGCGCAGCGAUGCGUUGAGCUAACCGGUACUAAUGAACCGUGAGGCUUAACCUU